CACCAGUGGCGAAGGCGGCUUGCUGGACGAUAACUGACGCUGAGGCGCGAAAGCGUGGGGAGCAAACAGGAUUAGAUACCCUGGUAGUCCACGCUGUAACGAUGAAUACUAGGUGUGGGAGGACUGACCCCUUCCGUGCCGCAGUUAACACAAUAAGUAUUCCACCUGGGGAGUACGACCGCAAGGUU
rnacentral:rRNA from 1 species